CUGGGCUCGGCCGGCCACGGCGGCGGGCCCGGCGUGCUCUGCACCCCGUGCUGUGGCCACACCUUCCACCGGCUCUGUCUGCAGAAAAUGGCUCUGAGUUCGGGCUACUUCUUCACCUGCCCAAUAUGUCGCAACAAGAACAACCGGACCGGCUUCCUGCGACACAUGAAACAGUUCGGCGUCUACGUGCCGCAGAGGGACGCUAGCUGGGAGAUGGAGCCGAACGCAUUCUCCGAGCUGCUGGAGCGACACGAGGGCUGUGAUCAGCGAUACUGU